CCUACGGGAGGCAGCAGUAGGGAAUUUUCGGCAAUGGGGGGAACCCUGACCGAGCAACGCCGCGUGAACGAAGAAGUUAUUCGUAAUGUAAAGUUCUUGUAACAGGGAAGCAAGAGAAAUUUGACGGUACCUGAAGAAUAAGCUCCGGCUAACUACGUGCCAGCAGCCGCGGUAAUACGUAGUGAGCGAGCUUUAUCCGGAAUUAUGGGGCGUAAGGGGUGCGUAGAUGGCAUAGUAAGUCUUUGGUAAACAUGCUGGGCUAAACCCAGUAGGGCAAAAGAUACUGCAAAGCUAGAGUAUGACAGAGGCAAGGGGAACUACAGGUGUAGCGGUAAAAUGCGUAAAUAUAGGGAAGAACACGAGUGGCGAAGGCGGGUUGCUGGGUAGUUACUGACAUUGAGGCACGAAAGCGUGGGGAGCAAACAGGAUUAGAUACCCUAGUAGUC
rnacentral:rRNA from 1 species